rnacentral:lncRNA from 1 species
AUAUAAAGAGUUUCCCCUGCCUGCCCCUACUAUCAAUUGAUAAUACAUAAAUGAUCCGGGGCUAGUGUUGGGUAGCCGGGCCCACUAGAAUUCAAGUGCUUCUUAUCGAUUCAAUACGCCCUUAACGGAUCCCCGUGCUUUAUCUCCAUUGGGUGGAGCAAGACCCUUGUCCUAUCUUUUCUUUACAGAGCAAUAGAAAUGAUGGUUGCCCCUCGCUGCACUGACCAAUGAUAUCUCAGAAGAGAGAAAGACUUCUAUAACUUGCCAAUGAUAUCUAGUGGGCACUACGAACUCCAGGCAUACUGUACUUGACCACCCUACUUUGCUUUGUCCCUAUUAGGCGAAAUCAAUACUUACUUUCAAUUGGUAGAGAGGAAGAAGAGAACUGACACUAGUAAUAGGUUGAUGACUUCUCUUAACAGAACUGACACUAGUAAUAGGUUGAUGACUUCUCUGACUUAAUAGCUGGCCGACUUCUCUUCAUGGAUCACCGUUCUAUAUAGUUAGGCGCAGCAUCGCGUUUAACCACCUAUCCCUAUUCCCUCAAUCGAUACCGUCCAACUAUCCUUUUAUUGGGACAGCAGCAUACUUCUCGUUAGGGACAAUAGUUCCUAUACUUAACUAACCUCUGUGCGCAAUCACUGUUUGACACAUCAUUCUUUCAGCUUUUCGUUCUUGACGACUCUGUUUGACGGAGCCUGACCUUGAACUAGCUUUUUGCAACACAAACCACUAUCUUUACUUUCCUUUAGCAAUAGUAUCUAACUAUCAAUUCAUAAGAGUCAAACGGGUGGGUCCAUCCCAUCUAUCGACAGGUCCUGAUACCGGAU